GGGGAGAUACUCAAGCGGCCAACGAGGGCAGACUGUAAAUCUGCUGACUUAGUCUUCGCAGGUUCGAAUCCUGCUCUCCCCACAA
rnacentral:tRNA from 1 species